rnacentral:rRNA from 1 species
GGUGAAAAGCACCCCGGAAGGGGAGUGAAAUAGAACCUGAAACCGUGUGCUUACAAGUAGUCAGAGCCCGUUAAUGGGUGAUGGCGUGCCUUUUGUAGAAUGAACCGGCGAGUUACGAUUUGAUGCAAGGUUAAGCAGUAAAUGUGGAGCCGUAGCGAAAGCGAGUCUGAAUAGGGCGUUUAGUAUUUGGUCGUAGACCCGAAACCAGGUGAUCUACCCUUGGUCAGGUUGAAGUUCAGGUAACACUGAAUGGAGGACCGAACCGACUUACGUUGAAAAGUGAGCGGAUGAACUGAGGGUAGCGGAGAAAUUCCAAUCGAACCUGGAGAUAGCUGGUUCUCUCCGAAAUAGCUUUAGGGCUAGCCUCAAGUGAUGAUUAUUGGAGGUAGAGCACUGUUUGGACGAGGGGCCCCUCUCGGGUUACCGAAUUCAGACAAACUCCGAAUGCCAAUUAAUUUAACUUGGGAGUCAGAACAUGGGUGAUAAGGUCCGUGUUCGAAAGGGAAACAGCCCAGACCACCAGCUAAGGUCCCAAAAUAUAUGUUAAGUGGAAAAGGAUGUGGCGUUGCCCAGACAACUAGGAUGUUGGCUUAGAAGCAGCCAUCAUUUAAAGAGUGCGUAAUAGCUCACUAGUCGAGUGACACUGCGCCGAAAAUGUACCGGGGCUAAACAUAUUACCGAAGCUGUGGAUUGUCCUUUGGACAAUGGUAGGAGAGCGUUCUAAGGGCGUUGAAGCAUGAUCGUAAGGACAUGUGGAGCGCUUAGAAGUGAGAAUGCCGGUGUGAGUAGCGAAAGACGGGUGAGAAUCCCGUCCACCGAUUGACUAAGGUUUCCAGAGGAAGGCUCGUCCGCUCUGGGUUAGUCGGGUCCUAAGCUGAGGCCGACAGGCGUAGGCGAUGGAUAACAGGUUGAUAUUCCUGUACCACCUAUAAUCGUUUUAAUCGAUGGGGGGACGCAGUAGGAUAGGCGAAGCGUGCGAUUGGAUUGCACGUCUAAGCAGUAAGGCUGAGUAUUAGGCAAAUCCGGUACUCAUUAAGGCUGAGCUGUGAUGGGGAGAAGACAUUGUGUCUUCGAGUCGUUGAUUUCACACUGCCGAGAAAAGCCUCUAGAUAGAAAAUAGGUGCCCGUACCGCAAACCGACACAGGUAGUCAAGAUGAGAAUUCUAAGGUGAGCGAGCGAACUCUCGUUAAGGAACUCGGCAAAAUGACCCCGUAACUUCGGGAGAAGGGGUGCUCUUUAGGGUUAACGCCCAGAAGAGCCGCAGUGAAUAGGCCCAAGCGACUGUUUAUCAAAAACACAGGUCUCUGCUAAACCGUAAGGUGAUGUAUAGGGGCUGACGCCUGCCCGGUGCUGGAAGGUUAAGAGGAGUGGUUAGCUUCUGCGAAGCUACGAAUCGAAGCCCCAGUAAACGGCGGCCGUAACUAUAACGGUCCUAAGGUAGCGAAAUUCCUUGUCGGGUAAGUUCCGACCCGCACGAAAGGCGUAACGAUUUGGGCACUGUCUCAACGAGAGACUCGGUGAAAUCAUAGUACCUGUGAAGAUGCAGGUUACCCGCGACAGGACGGAAAGACCCCGUGGAGCUUUACUGUAGCCUGAUAUUGAAAUUCGGCACAGCUUGUACAGGAUAGGUAGGAGCCUUUGAAACGUGAGCGCUAGCUUACGUGGAGGCGCUGGUGGGAUACUACCCUAGCUGUGUUGGCUUUCUAACCCGCACCACUUAUCGUGGUGGGAGACAGUGUCAGGCGGGCAGUUUGACUGGGGCGGUCGCCUCCUAAAAGGUAACGGAGGCGCUCAAAGGUUCCCUCAGAAUGGUUGGAAAUCAUUCAUAGAGUGUAAAGGCAUAAGGGAGCUUGACUGCGAGACCUACAAGUCGAGCAGGGUCGAAAGACGGACUUAGUGAUCCGGUGGUUCCGCAUGGAAGGGCCAUCGCUCAACGGAUAAAAGCUACCCCGGGGAUAACAGGCUUAUCUCCCCCAAGAGUUCACAUCGACGGGGAGGUUUGGCACCUCGAUGUCGGCUCAUCGCAUCCUGGGGCUGUAGUCGGUCCCAAGGGUUGGGCUGUUCGCCCAUUAAAGCGGUACGCGAGCUGGGUUCAGAACGUCGUGAGACAGUUCGGUCCCUAUCCGUCGUGGGCGUAGGAAAUUUGAGAGGAGCUGUCCUUAGUACGAGAGGACCGGGAUGGACAUACCUCUGGUGUACCAGUUGUCGUGCCAACGGCAUAGCUGGGUAGCUAUGUGUGGACGGGAUAAGUGCUGAAAGCAUCUAAGCAUGAAGCCCCCCUCAAGAUGAGAUUUCCCAACUUCGGUUAUAAGAUCCCUCAAAGAUGAUGAGGUUAAUAGGUUCGA